GGGUUGUGAGGUUAAGCGACUAAGCGUACACGGUGGAUGCCCUGGCAGUCAGAGGCGAUGAAGGACGUGCUAAUCUGCGAUAAGCGUCGGUAAGGUGAUAUGAACCGUUAUAACCGGCGAUUUCCGAAUGGGGAAACCCAGUGUGAUUCGUCACACUAUCAUUAACUGAAUCCAUAGGUUAAUGAGGCGAACCGGGGGAACUGAAACAUCUAAGUACCCCGAGGAAAAGAAAUCAACCGAGAUUCCCCCAGUAGCGGCGAGCGAACGGGGAGSAGCCCAGAGCCUGAAUCAGUGUGUGUGUUAGUGGAAGCGUCUGGAAAGGCGCGCGAUACAGGGUGACAGCCCCGUACACAAAAAUGCACAUGCUGUGAGCUCGAUGAGUAGGGCGGGACACGUGGUAUCCUGUCUGAAUAUGGGGGGACCAUCCUCCAAGGCUAAAUACUCCUGACUGACCGAUAGUGAACCAGUACCGUGAGGGAAAGGCGAAA
rnacentral:rRNA from 1 species